rnacentral:rRNA from 1 species
UGGGGGAUAUUGCACAAUGGGCGAAAGCCUGAUGCAGCGACGCCGCGUGGGGGAUGAAGGCCUUCGGGUUGUAAACUUCUUUUGCUCUGAACAAGGCGCACCAUGGGGUGUGUUGAGUGUAGGGGUUGAUUAGCGCCGGCUAACUACGUGCCAGCAGCCGCGGUAAUACGUAGGGAGCGAGCGUUGUCCGGAAUUAUUGGGCGUAAAGGGCGGGUAGGUGGCUGGUUGCGUCUGUCGUGAAAGCUCAUGGCUUAACUGUGGGUUUGCGGUGGGUACGGGCUGGCUUGAGUGCAGUAGGGGAGGCUGGAAUUCCUGGUGUAGCGGUGGAAUGCGCAGAUAUCAGGAGGAAUCCCGGUGGCGAAGGCGGGUCUCUGGGCUGUUACUGACACUGAGGAGCGAAAGCAUGGGGAGCGAACAGG